ACUCAAAUGAAUAGACGGGGGCCCGCACAAGCGGUGGAGCAUGUGGUUUAAUUCGACGCUACGCGAAGAACCUUACCUGGGCUCGAACGACUGGUGGUAAAAGGGAUGAAAGUCCCAAUGACCCGCAAGGGAGCCAGCCGAGGUGCUGCAUGGUUGUCGUCAGCUCGUGUCGUGAGAUGUUGGGUUAAGUCCCGCAACGAGCGCAACCCCUAUCCUGUGUUGCUACCCGCAAGGGAGGACUCUCAGGAGACUGCCGCGGAUAACGUGGAGGAAGGUGGGGCUGACGUCAAAUCAUCAUGGCCUUUAUGUCCAGGGCCACACACGUGCUACAAUGGCGCGUACAACGGGAUGCAAAGCCGCAAGGUAGAGCCAAUCCCUCAAAGCGCGCCUCAGUUCAGAUUGUGGGCUGCAAUUCGCCCACAUGAAGGCGGAAUCGCUAGUAAUCGCAGAUCAGCAGGCUGCGGUGAAUACGUUCCCGGGCCUUGCACACACCGCCCGU
rnacentral:rRNA from 1 species